ensembl:lncRNA
GUGAACCACUGCAUCAGCCUGUGUAGGAGAAUUCUCAUCUCUGAAUUCCUGUAGGACUUGCAGCCUGUAACACACUGGCUCACACUGACAUGUUCUCCAGCAGUUUCCUGUGUGAAGAGGCAGUGAGCGUGAGUGCAUCUCCUAGAGUCCCUGAAUCCAAGCAGGGCAACCGUGAGCUUAAUACAGAAAGGAAUGGAGUGAAGAGCAGGGCACAGGGAUCUUGCUGCAAGAAACUGCCUGGUAGGUGACAAUAAUGUUCUGAAAAUCAGUGACUUUGGAAUGUCUCGUCAAGAAGAUGGUGGAAUAUAUUCAUCUUCUGGCUUAAAGCAGAUUCCCAUUAAAUGGACAGCACCAGAAGCUCUUAAUUAUGGGAGAUACAGUUCUGAAAGUGAUGUAUGGAGUUUUGGCAUUCUCCUCUGGGAGACCUUCAGUUUAGGGGUCUGCCCAUACCCUGGCAUGACAAAUCAGCAAGCACGGGAGCAGGUGGAAAGAGGAUACCGAAUGUCAGCCCCUCAGCAUUGUCCAGAGGACAUUUUUAAGAUUAUGAUGAAGUGCUGGGAUUAUAAACCUGAAAACCGCCCCAAGUUCUCUGAACUUCAGAAGGAGCUCGCUAUGAUCAAGAAGAAAAUCACAUAGUGACAGGACAGUGCAAACUCAGCCGCCGGGACUGGGUCCUCCAGCAGUCGUGUUGGUUCUUCUCGUUAACGAUGAAUUUAUACCACAUUAUGUGCAACCGUCUUCUAAGGUUAUUUUUUUAUUAACUGUUUUUUUUAAAAAUAUGUGCCGUUAAAAAAGAAAAGUCAAAGGCCAAUGCAUUCAAGCCACAGUCCUACCAAGGGCUUCCAUAGCUCCCCACAGCAAUCCUGCCCUUUCAGCCUGCUGUACAUAGAAAAAGCACAGGCUUUGAAUAUGAGGGGGAACCAGUCUGUCUUAUUCACACCAGGACCACUGAAUUUUUCUCAGAGAUUUUUUACUUCAGGCCCAGUUGACAGGCUGCUAUCCACACCUCAGACCCUCCCUGGGCGGCACUCUCAGCCGCACUGGUAAUGCCAUGUCAGCAGGACACACUCCAACCAAAGUUGGCUUUCUGCUCUGACAAGGCAAGAGUAUCUUUAUAAACAUCGUUUUAUAUUGAGAAUUAUUGGGACCUCCUAGGGGUUUUUAUUUCCUUUCUUGCCAGAAGUAAGUGCAGUGUAAGAAUCCUCCCAUUCCUGUAUCAUUAGUAAGGCUGUCGUUUCCCUCCCCUUUUGUCCAGGCAUCAGAAAAGGAUGCAUGAAAUGUCCUCAAAGAGCAUGGUCUUAGAUGAGGCCACAGAUUUUAAAGAAUGUUUGAGAGCUGUGGGCAAGAACAGGAGGACAGUCUGGAGAUGGGGCAGCUAGAAUCAUCAUCAAAGAGAAGGAAAAUAGAAUAUCUGCCUUCCUAUCUGAGUCAUGCCUUUUACACACACACACACACACACACACACACACACACACACUUUUUAUUUUAUGGUCUGAAUUUAUGGAAAAGUCUCUAAGAAAUGUUUUCAGAAGUUCAUAGAUAAAGCCUUCUCAAUGCAACAACAACAAAAAUUUUAGAGAAGUUACAAAGCACAAGUUCACAAAAAUAACAGCAUACUUUUGGUUAAGUACCUUCAUCUGAAAGGAGACAUCCCGGAAUUCCCUUCAUUGGUAUCAGUUUCUUUGGCCAUCACAAUUUCAUGUUCCUAGCUCAUAAACACAUCCAUAUGUGUACACAUAUGAGCAGGUGCUCCCACACACACACAAAUACUGAGAAGCCUUGUAUGUGUGAAUGGAGUAAAUUAAGAAGUCAAAUGAACGCUAUUAAGGAAAAAGGUAUAAAGACAGCCCCCCAUUUCCACUUUUCCCCUUCAUUUACUCUGGUACUACAACCUGGAAUUAUCAUUAGCUGACAGGUAUACAAGCAUAGUUCCGAGAUGCUUCAUAAGAAUAAAAUGUAACAGAGUUAAAACUAGGAUUCUGUUUAGUUGAAUCUUAGCUGCAUCCAGGGAACUUACCCCAUGUUCUGUAAAUAGUUGCCUCUCAGGAUAAAUAGGUGUGUAAGACAUGGUCACGCUCAGGGGUAAAUAUGGCUUUGGAGCUCUUAAGAAGUGCUCAGGCCUCUGUCCAAAUAGCACAGUAGUGAUUAUUUGGUCCACAUUCAUUGGAAGAGCUUUUGGGAUAGGAAAUUCCUUCUGCCCCCUGCAACUGUUUGCUGACUAUGAAUAUCAAUGCACAGAAUUCACAGCCAGUACUACUUUCAAGAGAAAGCAGGAUAAUAAUACUGAAGGGAAAAAUACCUUGUGUCUACCAGUUCAGUCUUCUUGCAGGUUUUGUACACAUUUAAUGAUUACCACAUCCACACUAAAUGAAGGCAUAAUAAACUUGCCCUCAAAACUAUUGCAACAUACAAAGCACUUUUUUCAUCAGCAUUUUUCGCUUCUGUCAAAUACUGUCAGUAAAUCCAACUUUCUUUUGAUGGCAUAUAUUGUGUUAAAUCAAAGCACAGACUUAUGAAUUAAGAUUAAGAGCUCUGGUCUUUAGGCACCUGCCAGCCUUCAAAAACAAGAAUAAAAUAGGGACAUUGCCACUCUUUGCCAGUAUUUCCAAGUGCAUCUCUCUGUAAUAUUCUUUGUUUAAAGAAAACAGCCACCCAUCGCUUAGCAGACCCAAUGUUAAGCUCUCAGCAAAGAGAGAAUGAUGGUUUGGGCUUUAAUUUUGUGAACGACCUGAAGCUUAAUCUUUGCAUUCUAGUGAAAAGAACGAACAUGGCAUUGAUAUUUCACUCAUCCAGGCUUUGGAUGAAUUUGCAAUUCACAUCCUAACUCUGUGCUUAAAUUAAAGAAGCUUUUCACAACAUCGUGACAUCUGCAGCAUUUAAAUUCUAUUUUAUUCUUUGUCCCAGAGCAGGCAGUGGUAUAGUUCAGGAUUAAUAACUCAUUGGGAGUCUUUCAAGAUCAUAUCAGUUGUAUAGAAUAUUAAAUUUAAUAUAGGCACAUGCAUUAAGAAAAACUUAUGCAGACUAUUUUUUACUGUUAAUUUUGUUGUGCUUGAAGCAUAAUUUAUUCAUCCCUUCUGUCACUGAUAAUUAUUGGAAUUAUGUACUUUAGGAGGCUAAUCCAUACCCAAAAAGCAGACAUACAAAUACUGUUCAGAUUUUGCAAGGUGACAUAGAAGAAGAAGACUUCAGAAAUGCAUAAAAUCCUGUGACUUUAUGUAAGACUUUAGUAAGAAAACAGUUGUCACCAAAAUUGCCACUGGUCUGAAUAUAAUUCACCCAAGUCACACAUCUCUGUGGUAUUUAAUGGAUUUUUCAAGCCUUGCAUAUAUUACUCUUAAACAGUUCCUGUCAUAAUUCCUUAAAUUUAUGAAUAUGGAGUGGGGGGCAGGUAAGCCCGGACAGCCUCUCACCUGCAUUUUUCUGGCUUGAUUCAGCAAGGAGCCUUUAUGAGAGUUACUUGGGUAGUUCAUCAUUUUUCAAGGAAAAAAAAAAACUUUUAUUGUCAAAUUAAUAUUUAUUACCAACAUGUGAAACCUAAAAUUACUUUGUAUUCCAUGUAAUCUAAGGUUACUUCCCAAAGCCAACGUAUUCUUUCUCUUCCAGGAAAUGACAACAAUAGAUUAAUAGGUAUUUUUAGACUUUCAAAACCAGAGGUUUCAUUUCAGUCCAUCCUGCCACUGGGUCCCCAGUGAAAUGUCUCAUGUAAUCAUUUCUCUUUUAUCUCCCAAAUUUAAUAUAGGUAAUAAAGUUCUUCAUCCACAUUUCACCAUUUUGUCACAAACACAGUAUUAUUGAAACCUCUUACUAGCAAAUCCGUGUAGAACAUGAGUCUCUCAGCCAUUGUUCAGUGCACAUUUCACAACUAUUUUUCCUUUGCGGGUUGUUUUUAAAAGAGAAGGACAUAUCUGGUCAUUGAAAUAGCCUUAAUUUCCUUUAAACCACCAUAUGGUUUCCUUGUCCAUAUUACACUCCAUGUUUCAGUUUUGCCCAAAGCAAAACCGGAGCGAGAAGAGGGAUCCUAAAUAAUUUUUGUAUUCAUAUUAAAGUUUGGCUAAUACCACUGAAACAACUGUGGCUUCACAAUACCGGUGUGACACUGUGUCAGGAAGAAAGUGUUUUAAUUCUAAUUUACGCCGCACCCUGAGGACCUUAUGGUGGGAUAAACAUAAAAAUUAGAAUAUGGCAAUACAUGUCGAGGUCGUUUGUUGCUGUCAUUCAUUUACCUCAGUCACACCACUUUCCAGUUCAUUCUGGUGAAUCAUCAGAUGUGCUGAAAAUGUCCCUGCAAACCUUCUUGUUCUGUGGACAUUAUUCGGAGACUGUGUGUCCUCUGAAGUGAGAUGAAUUGAUACUUUCUGAAAAGAGGUCGUUUGCCUCAGCCCUCUUUUGACACAUACCUACUCCCCCAUCACAACACUGGUAUUUUAGAUGUUUCUUCUCAAUAGGAUUGAUUGUCCCUGACUCACUAUUCUGAGUCAUGUAAAGACUGACUUUUGUGUUUAGGAGGGUCAGGGCCCUCACACAAAACAGAAUAUUGCAAAAUACAAAGAAUAACAAAGGGGCAGAUUAUUGAAAAAGACACGGUUUCUUUAUGUAUUAAUGUUAACUAAAUGAAAACAAAGAUUUUAUAUGAAAGUGAGUUUAUAUUGCAUUUCCAUUAUACUAUUAAGUUAGCAUUAAAAUAAAGUGUUACCUCUUUUAUUACUAAUUCUGAUUUGCUUAUACAUACCAGAAAAUUUUUUAUUAAAUAUUUUAUUUUUCUGUUUUAAUUAGCUGCAUAUCAAGUCUGAAUAUUGUACUAUUUGGGAGGAUCCAAAACUACAUAUUAAUGUCCACCAAAGGAAAUACUCUGAUUUAAAAGUCAAGAUUUCAUAUACCAAGAUUACCUACUUGAGGGAGAUACUGGUACAGGUGUAGCCUCUCAUAAAAUUCCCCUUUUAAAAAAUAAUGCUAUAAUACAGAAGUGUAUAAACUGUAUAUCUUAGUUAUAAUUCAAUUUAAGGAAAUUUUUAUUACCCCUUGAAAACUGUCCUGCCUCAUACUGAUUCCAAGAUUAAACUCUGAACUGUUAAGUGUAGACAUUAAAAUUCACUUAAUUGCCUAAUAAGCUUUGAGAUUCUUAGGUGGCAAAAAAAAAAAAAAAAUCGUACUAGAACGGUACUAAAUUCCCAGUCACUUUCAACUGCAGAGAAGUAAUGAGCAUAGGUUUCAGCACAUCUCUUAAUAAGGAGCUGAGGCAAGCAUCUACAGAGGCAAGAGAGCCAAGAACCAGUUACUCUUAAGGUGGGACGACACAGCCCCUACAGAGAGUGGAGGAUAAUUAAAGAGGAACAGAUCCAGAUCCUUUUCUAAAGAAAAUUUAAAAGAUACUGGAAUCAAAAGAAGCAAAAGAGGUCACCUGCCAGUGUGUAGGCCUUAGUGUCAGCAAACCAAACGUCUCUCCUUUGCAUUCGGAGCAGCCUUACGUCCCUCACUCAGAGGUCAGGCUGUGCCUGGUGACACAUACUCGUCCUGCCAACUAAUGGGUUUGACCAUAUGUAUUUAAAAAGACUACUCAUUCUCCUUGCAUUUGAGUUACUGAUAAUGUUUCUUCAGCUAGGAUCACUGAUUAUUCCCACCUUAUUGGAAAUCUCCAAUUGCAAUGGGGCUUGUCUCUUAACCAAGCACACGCCAAGGUCAGCCUCGUUUUGGUUUUUGACUCAUGUUAACUCACUGGCUCCUAGAGGUUCCCCAGAGGGACCUUCCUGCAAUGAGCUCUGCUUGAGGGAAACAUGGAAUCCAGCAGAGAAGGAGGAGGAUACCAAUGAAAUAGCAACGCUGCUUUCUUUAUGUGAGUAACAUUUGAGGGCAAGUCAGUCACAGUGCAGCAAGGCCAUGGCCAGGCAUGGAAGGCAGAGAAAGAGACAUCCAAAAAGGAAGACUGAAGGACAGGAAGGCAACAAAGAACCAAUGCAAAGUGACUUGUGGGCUCAUUGUCCAAGCAAUAAAUGUGGUAUCAAUGAGGGAAGGCGAAUCCUCAGAAGGGAAUUUUGAGGUGCUUCCCGCUGAAUGUUAUUAAACAUUAUGUGCCUCUCAGGUCUCUACAACAUUUAAGGAGCAUGAAUUGGAUAUUGAUUAGAUUCUUUAUGCUCCCUAUUCUCUCAGACAGAAGCCACUGUUGAAUGAGAAUUACUCUUGCUCUGUUUUUCUCUAGGGCUACAGGCAUGACUCCCUAAGCAGUGAGGCGCUCAGAGAGGCCCACACAUGUUGGGGUAACCAGCGUGGGAGGAAAGUUGCUGUCACAGUUACUACUUUUUAUUUUAUUAAAGAAAAAGAUACUUUGUGGGUGUCUGUACUUGCAGCAUACAGAGUCAGCUUCUCUCCUUGCCAGCCAACUUGUAGGAGCCCCCAGACAAGGCAAUUUAGGAUUCACUCUAAAAACAUUCAAAUCUUGAACUUAGAGAUUAUCUUCCCAGACAUUACCACUGAAGGCAGAAGAUGUGAGUGUUCUAUGAAGUAAUGAAAUGUCUUAAGUGACAGUGAUGACCCUGGUAGCAGAAUUUUGUAAUAGGUUUUCCUCAUUUUUAUUCAUUCAGAAGAUUUUCUUGAACAUCUGCACUGUCUGGCUCAGGGAAACGUGCUGGGGACUAGUUUUUCCAGAUUUUUAUUUUUUCUUUUCUGGUUUUGUUUUCUCAUAUUCAGUUUCCUAAUCCUUACUUUACCAAAACAGAAGAGCUUCUUAUCAUCAGCUAUUUCAGACAGAGUCUAAUUGGCCUGGACCAGAGUUUCUCCUCAGGUGCUCAGGGGGCCCUCACCCUAUAGGAAGCAGCUCCCAGCAUCCACUUACUGAGGCCACUGCACACCAAGAGGACCUGGGGCAGAGGCACUGCAGAACCCAGAGGCCUUGCUGUAGUCUUUGGGGUGGAGAUAGGACGCCUGCGUGGCAAGUGUGGAUGAUUUGUCCCAAGACGGAGAGCACACGGGGAGCAGAUAAGUCUGGGGAAGCAGCCUGUUGACUCAGCCAAGCAAGCUCAUAAGGUGAUCUACUUACAAAGAAAUGUUAAACCACUAACAUGAUUAUUUUAAACCCCGGGACGUACUCAGUUUUCCCAUUCCACUCCUGCCAAUCUUUGCCUUGUUUCCCUCACACUCCUCUUUCAGUAAAUAUCUAAAUAUUUCAGUUAUGCAGUGUCAAAGAGUUUUUCCAUAGCUUCAGAAAAGAGGGUAACAAACGUGGAGACUUAAGCUUAAAAUAAGCCAAUUUACCUUGAGACAGACCCUAGAGUGCCACUGUGUUAAAACAUAAGCCAUACUCUACAGUUCCCCCAGAGCAGAACCCUUCCUACAUCUUUCUCCCAUCUGCUAAGAACAUCUUUAGUAUCAGAGUAAGCACAUUAUAGAUUCUAUCAAAGGCAGAUUCUAAAAUGACUUACUAAGAAGCAGUUUUCAACCAAUAAAGCAGACAACAGAAACACUACUUCAUCCCUUUGUGUUCAGUUAAAACACCCAUGCAAAAACUAGAAGCAUCUAGGCAGUACCUCUGAGCACAGGAGCUAAAACCUUAUUUAGAAAGUACAGGAUAGAUGUCCAUGGGAAAAAAAAUCAAUGUUUUGAGCAACACAGGAUAAGUAAAAAUGGCCAUAGGAGUUCUGGCUGUAGUGUAGCAGGGUAAGAAUCCAGUGUUGACUCUAGCGGUCGGGUGGCUGCUGAGGCGUGGGUUCGAUCCUCAGCUUGGCUCCUGGGUUAAGGAUAUGGUGUUGUCACAGCUGUGGCUCAGAUUCAAUCCCUAGCCAGGGAACUUCCAUAUGCUUUGGGUGCAGCAAAAAAAAAAAAAAAAUCCAAUUCCCACACUGGAGCGGCAAAAAUCUGAGAAUGAAAAAUGAAGUUGUAUAUGCAUCCAAAUUCCUCAUUAACAUUUUCUUCAUGUGUCUACGAAGUGGUACAUGAGUCCAAACUCAAUAUUUUCUUCAUGUAGCUCUUAUUAAAUUGUACAACUUUGGGAUCUUGUUUUGAGUUGCUUAAAAAAAUUUUGUAAAGCAAAAUGCUAAAUUUCCUCUUUCCCUAACCCUCAAUGGGAGCUUAAAUUUCUAAGUGCCCUGGAUUCAGAACCUUAGGGGCUGAGAGGGAAUCUGGAAUGUUGUUACUAACCAUCCUGUUAGUCUUUCCCAGCUCACUAAUCCAUGCUUUCAUUAAUUUUUAAACAUAUGAGAUGGUGAGGUGGAGGGGAGGAAAAUCCUCUAUUAUGUAGAGAUAUUCCUUUUACAAAUAAUUUGACUUGGUAGAAAUAAACUUGCCUUCCUGCUCUUAA